rnacentral:rRNA from 1 species
UACGUAGGGGGCAAGCGUUGUCCGGAAUCAUUGGGCGUAAAGAGCGUGUAGGCGGCCCGAUAAGUCCGCUGUGAAAGUCCAGGGCUCAACCCUGGAAUGCCGGUGGAAACUGUCGGGCUAGAGUCCGGAAGAGGCGAGUGGAAUUCCUGGUGUAGCGGUGAAAUGCGCAGAUAUCAGGAGGAACACCGGUGGCGAAGGCGGCGACCUGGGACGAUACUGACGCUGAGGCGCGAAAGCCAGGGGAGCAAACGGG